rnacentral:rRNA from 1 species
GACGGAGGGUGCUAGCGUUGUUCGGAAUCACUGGGCGUAAAGGGCGCGUAGGCGGCGUCGCAAGUCGGCUGUGAAAGCCCGGGGCUCAACCCCGGAGGUGCAGCCGAGACUGCGGUGCUGGAGGCCGGAAGAGGAGGGUGGAAUACCCAGUGUAGAGGUGAAAUUCGUAGAUAUUGGGUGGAACACCGGUGGCGAAAGCGGCUCUCUGGUCCGGACCUGACGCUGAGGCGCGAAAGCGUGGGGAGCAAACAGG